AAACACUUCUGUGGUCAUACAUGGGUUGUCUAACUAUGAUAUUAAUAGAGCAGAGAAAUUACUCAGAGAAGCCACAGACUCAAAAGAAGUACAUAUUCCUGAAUGUGCGGUCUCCGUUGUCCAGUCAAACAACUUUAAGGAUUUUGUUGAAGAUCUUAGAAGAAGCUAUUCUGUACAUGUUAGCAUUUCAUCUGUGAACAAUGAUGACAAGAAGCCUAGGUGUACCUUAGCUGGACUAAAGACAGAUCUAUGCUUGGUGGAAAAGAAGGUUCAAGUGUUCAUUGAAGAACAAAUCACAAAGACAGAGUAUAUGGUAUUAGAAGAAGGCAUGGAGUUAACAGAGAAUCUACCACUGCUACUAGACCGACUAGGCCUGAGCCACCUUUCUGGAUGCAUCAGAUAUAAUCCAGGUUGUGAAACACUGGAACUGACUGGAACAAAUAAAGCUAUUACUGAGAUAAAAGUUGCCAUAGAGGAAAAAAUUAAAGGUCUAAGGUGCAAAACAGUCACAAUAUGCCUGCCAGGGGCAUUUUCAUAUUUCAAAGAGGAUGGCCAAGUGUUUCUAAACUCAGACACAAUGCUGUCCUGCAUUGCAGUUCUCACAGCAAAACCAGGACAAGUCCAUCUGCAGGCAGUACCUCGAUUUCAGGCAAACAUUUCAACAACAGGUAAAGUCACCGGUGUUUGUUUUCAUGAAGGGGUAAAAGAAUUGUGCCUGGUUGCUGAUAAUGUUAUUGUUCAAGCAGCUUAUUCAGACAAAUUGCCUGAAUUUGCAGAUAUCUUCAUUAACUCUCUCUGUCGUUCUAUCACUGAUAGUAAGAUUCUAAAUACAGCUGGAGCAAAUGUAAAGACUGAGCUGAACAGAACAGUACGAAGAAGUGCAAUAACACUGACUGGACCAGGAAACUUCCCUGCCGACUACUAAUCCACAUUCCUUGUUUGUGUGGCAUCAGAGCAAAACAAUAUCUCAAAGAUGCCAUUCAGGAGUGCCAGAAGAGAAACUUCAAAUCCAUUGCAGUUUUUAUUGAUAAAAAUGAACUACACCAGUGUUUUGAUCAAAAGAGGCUCUCAACUGAUCUCAUAGAAACAGCAAUGAAGUAUAUGGAAGCUGAAGAAAGGAUUACCAUUGCAUUUGCAGAGGAUCAAUUUUUUGACUGUUUCAAAAACACUGCCAAGUCUAUCUAUGAUCAAAUAAAGAUGAUGAGUAAAAUGGAGUUACUUUUCUUCCAUGUGACACCCUUUGGAAUCACAGGUUGCAUCAGCAGCCCACCUGAGAAAAAAGAUCUUGAGGCUCUGCACAGGCAUUCGGAUCUCUGUGAACCUGCUAUAAUUCACAUCUUCUCCAAAAAGCAUCAGCUGCUAGAAAAGGCAGAAAUUGCAAUAGAAAAGCAUUAUGCAGCCUUCCUUUCAACAGACCUGCUGGUCCAUCCUUUUUUACACACUUGUGGUGACCAAGUUUUGCUGAAGAUUCGCCAAUUGUAGGAAAAGCACGCCAUCAAUGUGAUUAUUUGUGAUGGAACUAUACUCUUCAAUGGCCUUAGUGUUAAAACAUCCAUAGCUAAAGAAGAGGCUAUUAACAUUUUACAAGAGGCUGUAGCUCUAAAGGAGCUGGAUCACAAGAGAAAAGUGUUUCAAAAUGUCCAGUGGGUGAUUCAAAUUGAGGAAGAGAGCACUGUGCAGCUAAGCUGUGAAGAUAGCUAUAAUGUAGAGUUCCAGUACAUGUGUCAGCAGGAAUCAGUCGAUGUGAAAAUUGCCAAUAAAAUGUUUUCUGUUAAUGUGGCAGACAUGACUGCUAUUAACACAGACACCUACAAAGUGCACUUAGUCCUGAGAACAGAGAUGACAGUGAAAGAAUUCCCAGGGAAGUGGGAUAUAACUGAGGAUGAAAACUUCCAAAAAGUUAAAAUAGAUGUAGAUUCACUUGAGUAUGUCUCAGUUGAGCGAAGAUUUAAUGAGACUUUAUCCAACAAGACUGUAACAAAGAUUGAGAGAAUUGAGAACAAGACACUGUGGAAGCGUUUCUCUUUAGAUAUCAGUGGAGAGGUCAAGCUUUUGUUUUAUGGUGUCAAGCAUGCAGAUGUAAAGCAAGUGGAGAAAACUGGCUUCUUCAGACCACGGGAGACUUUCUUUAACUCUGAGAAUACUUAUGGAAGAGGCAUAUACUUUUAUGUUGAUGCUUCAUCUGCUCAGAGAAGAUGUGAUGUAAAUACCAGUGGACAGAAGGUGAUGUUUUUGGGUCGAGCAGAAACAGGCACAUUUACCGUAGGCCGAAAAGGGAUCAAUGUGCCACCUUCAGUAGACCCCUCUAACCCAGGCAUCCUUUACCACAGUGUGGUGGACAACAAUGACAAUCCAACAGUAUUUGUCAUGUUUAGUUCAGAUAGGACUUAUCCUGAGUACUGCAUCACAUUUACAGAUUAAUCUCAAGUAAAACAUACUAUUUUAAUUUACAUUUAAAUUUUCUUUGGCUAGGAAGUGAUUGUUUUACUCGUAGUCCUGACCAAUGGAUACUAGUUCUGAACCUGUAUUGUGAAUAUUGUUAUUUGAAAGUCACUUUGUAGUCAAAGUGAAAUUUCUGUCUUCAGUAAUGUUGUGAUCAGUACAACUACAUUAACAACAGCAGGCAAAUAUGACUUUUUUAGUAUUACUGAAAUCAAAACAUAUGUUUUAGAGAUUUCUCUAACUCUGGUAUUUUAGAGCCAAAUAAGACACAGGAACUAAUAUUAAACAAUAUCAGGCAAAUUAUUCAAAUUAAGCACGUUGUGUGGGACCUUCCUUCUGGUUUCCAAAAUAAAAAAUAUUGAGAACAAGUAAACUGCCUAACUUGAAUACUUUGUAUGCUAGACAAACUCUAUUCCUGUACUUAACAUUGUAACACUGUUUAUGUACAAGUUACACUGAACGACCAGAAUGAAUCAGAAUGUUUAAUGCACUUAAUACUUUUGUAGAUCUUUGGUUGCUUUCUAAACAUGCAGAUUUAUAUGGUCUGUUUUUGACAAAAUGCUUUUAAUAAACAUCAAAGAAAAUGUGUUUGAUAUAUUUUAACCAUAUCUUUCAUUUGCAUUUGUGUAUUUAUAUUUUGGAGCAUCAUGCAGUCCUCAAAUCCUUACUAUGUGGCAAACACAGGAGACUAAUCUGGUCUCAAGUCACCCAGGAGGCAUUUGACCAACUUACAGUAAUACAUUGACAUGAAAUAUUGCUACAAUUCUGAGCUGUGUUUUCUGCUACUUUGUAACCUGUUCUACUGCGUUUGACCCAUUUUCUGUACCUUUGGUUUUGGAUUGUGUUUUUUUUUUGCUAUGUGCACUGCUAUUACUGUUUUUGAAUUAUCUGCCUGUUUUCUCUUCCAUGUUCUAUUGAAGGAUGUGGAUAAGGCUAGUGGUUAAGGCGUUGGACUAGAGAAAGUCAUGAGUUCAAAUCCCAGUCCACCAAGCUACUACUGCUGGACCCCUGAGCAAGGCCCUCAAAUGCUCAGUUGUAUAAAUUGAAAGAAAUUGUCAGUGAGAGAGGAAGAGGUGCUCCAGGCAGAAACAAUCAACUAUGCAAUACAGAUGCAAGACCAUGUGUAUGAGGCCAUGAUGAAUAAUAUGUAAAACUCAAGGG